GAUGAACGCUGGCGGCGUGCCUAAUACAUGCAAGUCGAACGGACAGGCCAUGCUUUUGUUGGUUGCUCGUGAGCCGCACGGGUGAGUAACACGUGUGUAUACUGUCCCUGUCAUACGGAUAUCUCCAGGAAAAUGGGGAUCUUAUCGGAUAUAAUAUCUUGCUGCGCGUGGGGCGAUGGUGAGAUUCGGUGGUUGGGGCUGGACUCGCGGGUUAUCAGCUUGAUGGUGGAGUAGUGGCUUUCCAAGCUUUCGAAGGGUAGCCUGCCUGGGAGGGUGACCGGCCACAAGGGGACUGAGAGACGGCCCAGACGCCUACGGGAGGCAGCAGUGGGAAAUAUUGCAGAACGGGCGGAAGCCUGAUGCAGAAACGCCGCGUGCGGGAUGGCGGCCUUCGAGGUGUAAACCACUGUCUCCGGUGACGAAGCGUGAGUGACGGUAAUGGGUAAAGAAGCACCGGCUAACUACGUG
rnacentral:rRNA from 1 species